GCGUCUCCGUUAAUGAUUUUAGGUGCUUGCACUUGAAAGAUUUAACAUUGAGACGAGUGGCGAACUGGUGAGUAACACGUGGGUAACCUGCCCUUGAAGUAGGGGAUAACACUUGGAAACAGGUGCUAAUACCGUAUAACAACCAAAACCACCUGGUUUUGGUUUAAAAGACGGCUUCGGCUGUCACUUUAGGAUGGACCCGCGGCGCAUUAGCUUGUUGGUAAGGUAACGGCUUACCAAGGCGAUGAUACGUAGCCGACCUGAGAGGGUAAUCGGCCACAUUGGGACUGAGACACGGCCCAAACUCCUACGGGAGGCAGCAGUAGGGAAUCUUCCACAAUGGACGAAAGUCUGAUGGAGCAACGCCGCGUGAGUGAUGAAGGGUUUCGGCUCGUAAAACUCUGUUGUUGGAGAAGAACAGGUGUCAGAGUAACUGUUGACAUCUUGACGGUAUCCAACCAGAAAGCCACGGCUAACUACGUGCCAGCAGCCGCGGUAAUACGUAGGUGGCAAGCGUUGUCCGGAUUUAUUGGGCGUAAAGCGAGCGCAGGCGGUUUUUUAGGUCUGAUGUGAAAGCCUUCGGCUUAACCGGAGAAGUGCAUCGGAAACCGGGAGACUUGAGUGCAGAAGAGGACAGUGGAACUCCAUGUGUAGCGGUGAAAUGCGUAGAUAUAUGGAAGAACACCAGUGGCGAAGGCGGCUGUCUGGUCUGUAACUGACGCUGAGGCUCGAAAGCAUGGGUAGCGAACAGGAUUAGAUACCCUGGUAGUCCAUGCCG
rnacentral:rRNA from 1 species